CUUAUCUAAAGUUCUUGCCAUUUUUUUCAUAAUAAUAAUAAUUCUUGAGCAACUUGUCGAUCACUUCUGAUCAAGUUACAUUUGUAGAAACUAACAAAAAACACAUCAUGGACUCAGUAAUUAUUUAAUCUAUACAGGCAUCCUGAUCUAUAUGUCGGUGUCCAGUAAUCUGAUCCUGUGUUCUCAUGGUAAAUUUGAGGGGUACAUGAAGUAGGAACUAAACAAAGACCCCUGCUCCUGAGAUCAACUUUUACAUCUCCCUCGUCUUUCUUUUCCAAGACUCCCCAUGGAUCCUUGCGUGAAUUGUUCUUCAUGUAAGGACUACUCAAUAGCUGCACUUGCUCUUGCAGGAACUUUAUAUACUGAAUUGCUUCUAGUAGCACUGAGGCUGUAUCAGUCUUUCCAAAUGGCGACACAAUUUGUUGAAGGGCAGUGAUUCUGUCCCCAAGCUUGACUUUUGGUACCUGCAUCUUUGCGGAUGAAACUGUAGAGCUCUCAUGCUUAGGCUUUUUGAGGACCAUCUCCGACUUGUCAUCGGAUCUUUUCUUCUUUCCUUCACUUGUAUUCCCUUGGCCUCUUCCCGUCUUCUGCUUUCUGCUAUCAGAUAAAUUCAAGGAUUUAAAGCAGUAUUUAUGCCCUUCAAUAUCGAUCGAUGGCUUGUUAAAUCGACCAUUACAACCUAUACCAUCAGUGAAAUUUCUUGCACUUGUGCAUGUGUUAUCCGGCAUUCCAUAAUAGUGUUUGCUGUUAUCAGCCACCACCAAGCCGCUACUAAGGCCAAUAUUAUAUCCAACACCAUUACCAUUAUUAAAUGACCUUCUAAAGAUAUAACUAGGUGCUUCAACCUGGCAAUGUUCAUUUUCUAGCUUUAGAUCAUGGCCAUCGUAACACGAUAAAAAACCAGAUUUUCUAUUCACUUCCGUCUCACACGACGCAGAAUUACUGUAAGUUUGUGGCUGCGAGUAGUGAUUUGCAGAAGAACUCAAUGAUAUGUUGCAUGUUAUUGGAUCGAUAGUCUCGCGGCUAACUAGUACUCCUGGAUCCGGCGGAGCAAUAGUCCAGUUGCUUACCAAGUUGGAUAGCUUAGUCACCCUUUCACUUUCGACCAAGCUCAAAUGAUCAGUGCUAAAACCGUUUAUAUGCUUAUGAUCCAAGUUGUUAAUGGAAGGAGAGUUUGUGAAUUCCCAGUUGUUGUCGUCCAUUUUCUUCAAGUAGUCACAUGCAGGUUCGAAUAUCCCAGAUGAGAUGCUUUUGGAUGAUAGUGCAUCAAGUAAGUUUUCUCCAACAUCUUGUAUGUUGUGUAGCUCACCAUUGCUUCCAACGCCUAAAAGAAUAUGACUCCAUAGUUGACUAUCAGAAGCAUGUUCUCCCAUGAACUCGGUGGGAGAAGAAGCAGCAGGCUCAACGAGUCGGCGAGAGGACUCAACAGUUAGGCCGGAGUGAUUAGAAGCAUUAGUAAAGGAUGUAGACAUGGAAACAUCCUCUUCACAAGAGGAGUUGGAACUAGGGUUUGGUUGCUGCUGGUGCCAUGGGCUGCAGGUAGUAGCGGAAAGAUUACUAUUAUUAGUCCAUGGAGGGAGAGAGCUUGCAUGGUGAAGAUCCCACCAGCCAGCAACAGCAGCAAAAGGCGUAGAGGAAGAGAUAGCCACAGAGCUCUCACUGCAUUCUUGAGCCAUAUCUCUCUGUAGCUCUUAGCUAGUGGAGAGAAAAUGCUUAAUGGGGUAGCUUUCUUUUUUCUUUCUUUCUUUCUGCGUGGGUGGAGGAGGUGGGAAUUUAAGGAGAGGGAUAAAAUGAGAAAUCCAUUGGUGGUGACGUAGGUUUUA
rnacentral:misc_RNA from 1 species